rnacentral:rRNA from 1 species
GGGGGGACCAUCCUCCAAGGCUAAAUACUCGUAAUCGACCGAUAGUGAACUAGUACCGUGAGGGAAAGGCGAAAAGAACCCCUGUGAGGGGAGUGAAAUAGAUCCUGAAACCGCAUGCAUACAAGCAGUGGGAGCACCUUCGUGGUGUGACUGCGUACCUUUUGUAUAAUGGGUCAGCGACUUAUAUUCAGUAGCGAGGUUAACCGUAUAGGGGAGCCGUAGAGAAAUCGAGUCUUAAUAGGGCGUUUAG